rnacentral:rRNA from 1 species
UACGGGGGGGAGCAAACGUUGUUCGGAAUCACUGGGCGUAAAGGGCGUGUAGGCGGCUGGAUAAGUGGGAUGUUAAAUCCCCCGGCUCAACCGGGGACCUGCACCUCAUACUGUUCAGCUCGAGCACAUCAGAGGAGACUGGAAUUCCCGGUGUAGCGGUGAAAUUCGUAGAUAUUCGGAAGAACACCCGUGGCGAAGGCGGCUCUCUGGGACGGUACUGACGCUGAGACGCGAAAGCGUGGGGAGCGAACAGG